UAUCAUGGGGGGGGGG
rnacentral:rRNA from 1 species